GCCGGACACCAGCUGCUGGCCGACCAGCUGCGUCGCGCCAUGGAGUUGUCCAACCUCUCCAGCAUCAUCCCAAAAGUCGAGGAGUGGUCACAGAUGACCGAGGAAGACUUGCACAACAGCUUGACUGAAUACCUGAAACCUGACAGCCCGGGUCUCGAAGGCCAGGCACGAGAGGCCCCGGACUCGCCCCAGUACGACAUAGCUGUCGACGACAGGAGGGCGGCGUGGGAUUUCUCCGGUGCAGUAUUGAUCCCUAUGUCUAGAAUGUGGCUGUUUCCUUCUGCCUCUCGACCCUGGCCCUGCCGUCUCUUUUGCUGUCUUGAUGUCUGGCUCGCUGCAACACUUUUGCCAUCCGAUAUAUCAUAACUGAGUCAGUCUUGAAAUUGCGAAAAUUUGAACGUAAAUCUGGCCAGAAGCUGUCAAGCUUGACAACUUCCCACAUUCCUCCUUGCAGACGACACAGCUCUCGAAUUGGUUUGCUCUGCUCGGUGUAAAGCCUCAACCUCCGCCAGCUGCAAAAGUGGUGAUCCUACGUC